rnacentral:rRNA from 1 species
AUUGAACGCUGGCGGCAUGCCUUACACAUGCAAGUCGAACGGUAACAGGUCUUCGGAUGCUGACGAGUGGCGCACGGGUGAGUAAUACAUCGGAACGUGCCCAGACGUGGGGGAUGACGAGGCGAAAGCUUUGCUAAUACCGCAUACGAUCUAAGGAUGAAAGCAGGGGACCGCAAGGCCUUGCGCGUUUGGAGCGGCCGAUGGCAGAUUAGGUAGUUGGUGGGAUAAAAGCUUACCAAGCCGACGAUCUGUAGCUGGUCUGAGAGGACGACCAGCCACACUGGGACUGAGACACGGCCCAGACUCCUACGGGAGGCAGCAGUGGGGAAUUUUGGACAAUGGGCGAAAGCCUGAUCCAGCAAUGCCGCGUGCAGGAUGAAGGCCUUCGGGUUGUAAACUGCUUUUGUACGGAACGAAAAGGCUCUGGCUAAUACCUGGGGCACAUGACGGUACCGUAAGAAUAAGCACCGGCUAACUACGUG